CAAGAUUAUACUUUGUAAGGUGGACCCAGGAUGUUCAUUUUCUGUGGGCGGUUGUCUGCAGCAAAAGGACAAUAUCAGGUCAGUGUUUUGUGGCCCCACUGAAGAGUCUGUGCCUUUCAAGAAACUCUAGGAAAUUAAUUCUGAUCCCCAUCCUGCUAAGGUGGGGGAAUUUCAUCCUAAGCCUGAAGAGUGACUGAACCAGAAGGAUGCAGGCUGUCUUGGAAAGUGGGUGCUCUGCCCCUUUUGGAAAAAAAAAAAUGCAUUUUUCAGUAAACCCAGUAAACGU